rnacentral:lncRNA from 1 species
AUGUUUCUUUCCACAGAGAUGGAAUGCGAGUUGUCCGGUGACCCAUCCCGUGCCAGCCCUCCAUGGGAACCCUGCACAUGGCCAGGGGCUGGGCGUUCUCCUGUGGCCCCGAAAGGAGAGCCUCCUGACCAAGGCCAUUGCCCCGAAGGGGACCGUGGGAGGGGGUCUCCUUCUCCCUCCAGAGGGACGUCUCCUCCUCCUGCUUCUUCUGAUCAGGCGAGCUCCCCCACGGGUGGGAACGCACAGGAGGGACCUCCCCUGCCAAAGUGGUCUUCAGCCUUCAGCAACAGCCCGGCACAAACCGAAACUUCCCGACUGCUGAAUGGAGAGCCUUUCCUCGGCUCCCCUCUGGGGAGGGACAGCUGCACAGGAGUAGAGGAUGAUGGGCCAAGGGAGGGACGGCAGGUCAAGGAGAGCGGCCGCUCCCUUUCCCCUCCGCCCUCUUUCCGACACACCGUUGCCGAUUACGCCGGAGAAGGGGAUUUGGGAGGCCGUCUGAGGAAUGACCUUUUUAGGUGGAGCCCUCUGGCCAGAUCUGACCCGACCCGAGCCUCUCGGGGAUUCCCAGAGGAGGGGAGGACCUCUGGUGCCGCCCCGGUCUCUGGUGGGCUUGGAAGUCUGGCGCUUGCUCGGAGCUCUCUGGCCUGCAUCGAGGCCCCUGCUUCAGCCUGGAAUCAGUGGGCGGGAGCAUCUUCUGCCUCCCCAGUCUUCAAAGAAGAGAAGGAGUGGGAGGAUUCUCAUGAGCCGCUUGCCAGCCUUGGCUCUUGCCCAGCAUCUUCCACGGCUUGUUUGCCGGCCAUCGCCGUCCCCCCAAAACCCCUCCUUCAGGGGGUCUCAGCAGCUCGACCACCGGGGACUUCGACCCAUCCUGUGGGUUCUGGAAGCAGAGACAACCCACCCGUUCGUCCGACGAAGGAGGCAGAAGCACCGUGGCCGUUGGACUGCAAGCCUGUGGACUCGAACAGGGAGGGCACAGUUUGCCCUGCUUCUCCUCUAGGCCCCGAGGAAGGAGGUAUGCUCCCACGGAGGGAACGUCCCCCCUGCGGCUCCUCUGCUCCGUCCCAGAGGGAUUUCUGGCCCGGGGCAAAGGGGGCAGAGAGCAGCGUCCCGAGCGGCUGGGCUUCCUCUGAGCAGGACGUGGUGUUCCAGUUGCAGGAGUGCCAGUCAGUGCUGGCCGAGAUCUCGCAGACCUUAGGUGGGGCUGAAGGGCUUGACCACAGCCACGUGGAGAAGUGGAGGUAA